rnacentral:rRNA from 1 species
AGUGAACGCUGGCGGUAGGCCUAACACAUGGAAGUCGAACGGCAGCACAGUAAGAGCUUGCUCUUACGGGUGGCGAGUGGCGGACGGGUGAGGAAUACAUCGGAAUCUACUUUUUCGUGGGGGAUAACGUAGGGAAACUUACGCUAAUACCGCAUACGACCUACGGGUGAAAGCAGGGGAUCUUCGGACCUUGCGCGAUUGAAUGAGCCGAUGUCGGAUUAGCUAGUUGGCGGGGUAAAGGCCCACCUAGGCGACGAUCCGUAGCUGGUCUGAGAGGAUGAUCAGCCACACUGGAACUGAGACACGGUCCAGACUCCUACGGGAGGCAGCAGUGGGGAAUAUUGGACAAUGGGCGCAAGCCUGAUCCAGCCAUACCGCGUGGGUGAAGAAGGCCUUCGGGUUGUAAAGCCCUUUUGUUGGGAAAGAAAAGCAGCAGGUUAAUACCCCGCUGUUCUGACGGUACCCAAAGAAUAAGCACCGGCUAACUUCGUG